UACACAUGUACAUUGUGGCACACAUGCAUCUGUACAAAGACACACUCACACACUGAAUAAACAAGUAUGUAGUAAAUAUAAACUAAAGUGUUAUGCUCAGAGCAAGAUGCCAAGUACAGAAAAUUGUACUUUGUCUACUCUGUGAUUCCACAGACAUUCUAGGAAAGACAGAUCUAAUUAAUACAUCAGUGGUGACCUGGAUCCAGCCAAGGGAGCUCAUUAGGAGAGGGCCCAAGAUACUGUGUGUUCGUGCACAUGUGUGUGCAUGCAUGUUUUUGUGUGUGCAUGUGUGCAUGUGCAUGCAUCUGUGUGUAUGUGUGUGUGCGCGCACACAUGCAUGUGUGUGUGUGUGUGUGUGUGUGUGCGCGCACUUGUGUGUGCGAGAUGGGGCAGGGAGGGAAUUCAUUAGUAUCUACUUGUAUGUCUUGAGGCGGAUUUGCAGUUCAUCAGCUUGCAUUGAGCUUUAAGAAUUGAGUCUAUCUGCCUUUCUCUCCUGAGUUACAGGAAUGUUACGCUAUCUCUGACUUUCAUGUGAGUUCUGGGGAUUUGAACUCAGAUCCUCACACUUGUAGAGUAGGCACUUUACUAUCUGAACCAUCUCCCUGUUCCUCAAGAGAAUCUUUGAAUAAUUAUGAUGGUGAUUUUCUGGAAAUGCAUAGUGAUCAGAAUUUGUAUAUGUAGACUUCAAAUGUAUGUAUUUUAUUUUAUGUAAAUGAUACACUAAUAAAGCUGAUUUAAGAUAUCUGGCCUAA
rnacentral:lncRNA from 1 species